rnacentral:rRNA from 1 species
AGAGUUUGAUCCUGGCUCAGAUUGAACGCUGGCGGCAGGCCUAACACAUGCAAGUCGAGCGGCAGCAGCUCCUUCGGGAGGCUGGCGAGCGGCGGACGGGUGAGUAAUGCAUGGGAACUUACCCAGUAGUGGGGGAUAGCCCGGGGAAACCCGGAUUAAUACCGCAUACGCCCUGAGGGGGAAAGCGGGCUGAGGCUCGCGCUAUUGGAUGGGCCCAUGUCGGAUUAGUUUGUUGGUGAGGUAACGGCUUACCAAGGCGACGAUCCGUAGCUGGUCUGAGAGGAUGAUCAGCCACACCGGGACUGAGACACGGCCCGGACUCCUACGGGAGGCAGCAGUGGGGAAUAUUGGACAAUGGGGGCAACCCUGAUCCAGCCAUGCCGCGUGUGUGAAGAAGGCCCUAGGGUUGUAAAGCACUUUCAGCAGGGAGGACAGCUGUCGGUUAAUACCCGCCAGUGUUGACGUUACCUGCAGAUGAUGCACCGGCUACUCCGUGCCAGCAGCCGCUUAAUACUGACGUGCAGCGUAUCGACACUGGCGUAAUGCGCGUAGCGCUGUAGCGAGUGUGAAGCCCGGCUCACUGGAUGCAUCGACUGCAGCUAGAGUGCAGCAGAGCAGUGUAUCUGUGUACGUGACUGCGUAGAUAUCGGAGACACAGUGCGAGCGACUGCUGGCUGACAUGACGCUGAGUGCGAGCGUGGUAGCACAGAUAGAUACUGU